AAUCCAGUUAAACAUUUUCGUAGAGACCUAUUAAUAACAUAAAACUAUUAUUUGCGUGGUAAAAUCUUAAAGAAGUUUAGACCUUUUGUGAGCUAUUUAUAGACAUUUAAAUUUUUUAUGGUUUUUGCGUAAUUUUUAUUUGGUAGGCAUUCUGUGGAUAAAACAACUUGAUCAAAUAGAUGGGCUUUACAAUUAAACAGAAUGCUCAUUAUAAAUUGAACAUAGUAG